rnacentral:rRNA from 1 species
GUAGGCUGAAACUCGCCUACAUGAAGCUGGAAUUGCUAGUAAUCACAGGUCAGCAUACUGUGGUGAAUACGUUCCCGGGCCUUGUACACACCGCCCGUCACACCAUGAGAGUUGAGAAUACUCGAAGCCCAUGUCAAAGUGGUCGAAGGUAGGCUUGAUGAUUGGGGUGAAGUCGUAACAAGGUAGC